CAGGCUUACUUCCCACCUGAGCUCUUCACCUGUGGCAGGUUCUACGCUGUCUCUACAAACGUCUGGGCUCUAGGAGUGUUGUUGUAUGAGAUGGUGAACACAUGUUCUCCAUUUUGCAAUAUAACGGAAAUCAAGCAAGCCGAAAUUAGGUUUGAAAACCCAGAUUUAUCCAAAGAAUGCCGUGAUCUGAUUGUCCAAUGUCUAAACCGUGAUCCUACUGAACGGCUGACCCUCGAGCAGAUCUUGCAGCAUGACUGGUUUAAAACAGUGGAUCUAGAAGAGUCAGAGGAUAGCAACAGCAUUGGUUUCAAAGUUGAGCCAGUGUAACAGACAGAGUAGGAAACUACAACUGUGUUGUCACCUUCAAUUCUGAAUCAUAUAUAAUGUAGAUUUAAAAUAUGAUCAGUGAAGGUUGGACACACACCGUCCAGUGAAAAAAACACUAUGAAUUUACAUGCUGAUGGAGAUUGGAAACUCAAGCCCUCAUGUGAGCCCACUACUAAAGAAUCAGAGAGCUCAGAGCACCCCUGAAUUCAGAGCUGGUCCACAUCCUUACAGUCCCGUCUGAAUCUGAGCAUCUAUAGUUCUAGUCAUCAGAGCCUUAAGUGCUUUUA